rnacentral:misc_RNA from 1 species
AUAUUCAAGGUAUACUCAUGCAUUCAUUUAUAUGUAUGUAUAUAAUUAAUUAAAUGCUAGGCAGGCUUCUUUGCUGCAUAUGUUAUUGAAUUUGUUUGUGGAUGUCGCCUUAGGAUAACUUGGAGCUAUGUGUGUAUAUUUACAUGAGCAUAGUGUGGAUAGAGAUAAAGGUAGGACAAGUAGUCGCGGUUGAAGCUUGACUCGUUGAGACUCGAUUCUUAUAUAUGAA